rnacentral:misc_RNA from 1 species
AGCUCAACUCAAUUAAGCCUUUAUCCUAAAAAUUUGGAAUCAGCUAUAUGUAUUUGCUUUCUCCACUCUAAACGAUUUUAAGUUAAAUCCUCAAAAAUGUGUAAUGCUUCUAGGUCAAUUUAGGUCUAUCCCUUUGAACCAAUAUCUUUUGUUAAACCCAUUCUUAUCCAAUGAUCAUAUGCAAAGCCUUUGGUCUUAAAGCUCUAGCUUCUCUAAAGGAUAUUUUUUUUCAAUGCAAGAGGUGAGAGAAAUGUAGUUCUAAAUUGGAAUCAUGUUUCCAAUUAUUUCUAAAUUACAGAAAUGGCCCCGAAACAUUUUGGGCAAGUCUCCUUAAGUUUUAGUUGUGAGAUGUUUCCGAAACACAGAAACUCUGGUACCCUUUCAUUGCUUCAUAAUACAUUUCAAUGCAAUGCAAGGCAACAGCAGGUCAAGUUUCAAUGACAAAAUGGAUUUGGAAUCAACUUUUUGUGCAAUUUUAACAUAAGAUAUAAAAACAAUGUCAAUUCCUCAGCAUAGACAAUUCCUGUAUAAUUCUCUGUCCCAUAGUCUGUGGAUAGUAUGACAAAAAGACAUAUUUUACAUCUUGUAAACAACUUAAAAAUUUCUGUCCAAGUUCCAGACCAUACAAAUCUUCAACAUAUUUAUGUUUAAAUAGAGGGGGAAAGGGAGAACCUAAAGAUUUCAUUAUACCAAUCUCUCUGCAGCUCAAUUGGCUUUUUUGGAUCCACCAAACCAAUAAAAGUACAGAGAAUGGUUUAGUCCCCAUCCACCUCCCUGCCAAUUAAUGGAUUUUAACCAUGACUCACAUAAAAAGGUGCUCAAAACAGUAUGAAAAAUACAUCUAAUCUCAGUUAUGUGGUUACGUGUCCUUCAAACAACAAACUUUGUGUUGAUUUUUACACUUAAACAUCAACUGAAGCACAACUGAGACUGGAGUAAUGUAUCAUGCCGGUAGUUGUGAAUUAUUUCAGAUCACAUGAGAUGCAAGCUCAUCAUGACACACUGGACUGAAGUGCCUACUCAAAAUCCCCAAAGACAAUCAUAGAUCAUGGAAUCACAGACCAUUCAUGACACUGUAUCAUAUAUUCAUAGCUCCAUUAUUUUUCAAAUUGCAGCAUUCAUUUAUGUGCUUUAUUUAGCUUUGAUGGUAACAAUUCUAACUGUCAAUUCAUUUGACGAGAAACUAUGCUUGCAGUAGAAGCCUGAAAUGUAAUUUACAUAAAAUUGAAAUUUGCACUCUCAAAAUGUUUGACAGUAUGAACUAUUAAACCAGUAGGAGUUGGUUCUAGUCAUAGUCAAAAAGAACAUAAUUCUUAUUCAAACAAAAGAGGAGGGGAACUUGGGAAGUGUUGAAAAACGCAAAAGAAGAUGCUAUAAGCAAGGCGAAAAGGGGAGAAGAAGAAGAAGAAGAAGA